ensembl:rRNA 5S_rRNA 5S ribosomal RNA
CCCAUCCCAUCCUAAAAGUGCUCAAUCUCAUCUGAUUUCGGAAGUUAAGCAGGGUCGGGCCUGGUUAGUACUUAGAUGGAAGAAAAGCGAAGCACAGAGAAGGU